rnacentral:rRNA from 2 species
CACCUGAUCCCUUCCCGAACUCAGAAGUGAAACCUCUUAGCGCUGAUGGUAGUGUGGGGUUACCCAUGUGAGAGUAAGUCAUCGCCAGCU